rnacentral:rRNA from 1 species
AACGAACGCUGGCGGCAUGCCUAACACAUGCAAGUCGAACGAGACCUUCGGGUCUAGUGGCGCACGGGUGCGUAACGCGUGGGAACCUGCCUUUAGGUUCGGAAUAACUCAGAGAAAUUUGAGCUAAUACCGGAUAAUGUCUUCGGACCAAAGAUUUAUCGCCUUUAGAUGGGCCCGCGUUGGAUUAGCUAGUUGGUGGGGUAAAGGCCUACCAAGGCGACGAUCCAUAGCUGGUCUGAGAGGAUGAUCAGCCACACUGGGACUGAGACACGGCCCAGACUCCUACGGGAGGCAGCAGUGGGGAAUAUUGGACAAUGGGCGAAAGCCUGAUCCAGCAAUGCCGCGUGAGUGAUGAAGGCCUUAGGGUUGUAAAGGCUCUUUUUACCCAGGGAUGAUAAUGACAGUACCUGGAGAAUAAGCUCCGGCUAACUCCGUGCCAGCAGCCGCGGUAAAGUGACUACUG